GGGCUGCGGGCUGCCAGGGAGCCGGGUUUCUGAAAGGUGUUUCAGUAGCUGUGGCAUCGGAAUGGGGGCCAGCCCCCAGCAAACCGUACUUGAACGCACCCACGUCCUCCGUGCCGGCUGCUGGCUUUCCGGAUGCAAAUUAUGAUAACGUUCCAGAUGGGAACAGUCUAUUUGCAAUAACUGCUGAGUGGGAAGAAAAAAAAAAAAAGAGACUUUUUUUUGUCACAAAGGAAAGAGUGAUCAGGUUGGAAAAUGUAAAUAACACACUUAUGGAAAGCUUUCUGAUGGAAAUGAGGGGCUCCGCCUCACCUUGCUGCAAAGCCGUCAUUUUCAGCUGGGCUGUUUGUCCUCGGGCCUCUGACGAGGCGGCCAAGCCUUGGGAACUUUUGCAAAUAGUCACCGCGUGGAGCACUGAUAUUCAGGACGAUGGGGAGCGCAGAAGGGAAACUAUUUCCACGGAGUCGAGCCCUGUAUUGUUCGCCGCCUCCACCCCCCACCCUGGGUUGGAACGAGAGCUUGCAAUCUGCUUUUGGACUCUGCAGCAGAAUCUGAAUUCUGAAACUUUAUCAAAUACCCCUGGGUCGGAGCAGGCAGUCUGUAACAACAGCUUCAAGAACCCCAAUGCUAAUGCAUCGAUUUCCCUUUAAUAGAAUUUUGUCGUUGAAGGACAGGGCUCCGUCGAGUCCACCCUUCAAUCUUAACCCAUCCCAAGACUGUUCCUUUCCAGUUGAGCUCCAUUCAUUUCUGGUUGAAUAGGUUAAGCAAA